rnacentral:rRNA from 1 species
UACGGAGGGUGCAAGCGUUGUUCGGAUUGACUGGGCGUAAAGGGCGUGUAGGCGGUUGGUCAAGUCUGGUGUGAAAGCCCGGGGCUUAACCCCGGAAGUGCAUUGGAAACUAGCCAGCUAGAGCGCGAGAGAGGAGGGUGGAAUUCCUGGUGUAGCGGUGAAAUGCGUAGAUAUCAGGAGGAACACCGGCGGCGAAGGCGGCCCUGUGGCUCGUUGCUGACGCUGAAACGCGAAAGCGUGGGGAGCAAACAGG